rnacentral:rRNA from 1 species
AUUGAACGCUUGCGGCAGGCCUAACACAUGCAAGUCGAACGAGUGGCGGACGGGUGAGUAAUUUCUGGGAAACUGCCUGAUGUAGGGGGAUAACUACUGGAAACGGUAGCUAAUACCGCAUACCAUCAGAUGUUCCCAUAUGGGAUUAGCUAGUGUGUGGGGUAACGGCUCACCUAGGCGACGAUCCCUAGCUGGUCUGAGAGGAUGACCAGCCACACGGGAACUGAGAGACGGUCCAGACGCUUAAGGUAGGCAGCAGUGGGGAAUAUUGCACAAUGGGCGCAAGCCUGAUGAAGCCAUGCCGCGUGUAUGAAGAAGGCCUUCGGGUUGUAAAGUACUUUCAGCGGGGAGGCGUUACCCGCAGAAGAAGCACCGGCUAACUCCGUGCCAGCAGCCGCGGUAAUUC